ACUCCCCCCGAACACUGCCGAUCUCUUCCGAAGCUCCUGCACCGGCUGCUGUUCGUCCUCCUCGCACCUCCAUCGCCUGACACCAUUUCCACCAUGAUGGACAUUUUGAUGCUGAUGUUUUUCGCCAUCAUGGGCCUCGUCUUCCUCUCCUACAUCAUCUACAUGCUGUGAGGAGGAGGAGGAGGAUGAAGGAGGAGGAGGAGGAUGAAGAAGAGGGCUCCUGCACACAGUCCGCUGGUAAACAUGGGCGCACACGGGAUGUUGUGUUUCUCCUGCAUCCCUGGUGUCCGGACAAUGGAAGAGGAGCCAGAGCCAUGAUGGUUUCCCAUCAGUGCUCUCAGGUGGGGCGUGAGGAGUGAUCCAGCGGAAGUGAGGGAGCAGUGGAGGCCAAACUCUCUUGCCUCUCUUUUUCUAUAUCUCCCACUUGCACUAUGUCAUCCCUCCAUCCUCCAGAGGACCGGUCCAGUCCGAGGAGACUCCCCUGACUUCCUCUUCAAUGGACCCAACUCGUUUUUCUAUCCAGACUGUGUGUUAUCUGUCGAGGAGGAGUCGUGUCACGUCCGCACCAGUCCAAGAAUACCAGUCUGAGUGUGGAAUUUGCCUUUUUUCACGACACUGUGAGCUAUUUAUCGCUUCCACCUCAUGUGCAUGUGAGUUUAACAGUAUUAUCCCUGUGUGGCCAACACCUCUGCACUCGUGGCUUUAUUUGUAUCAUGUGUGUGUUUCAUCAAAUGUCUCAGCCUUGACGUCAGUGUUAAUAUUAUUUCCUCUGUGUUGCCACAAUACGUGCUCCUCCUCACUACAAUCAAGGUUUCCCAUCACGGGGGGAGCCUCAGUGCAAUAACUCAGUGAAGAGAUCACAGCACAUCACCUCCUCUGUUGAAACCUUUAUGUUGCUGUUAUUCAGUUUGUCUUAAUAUUAUAUACAGUUUAUAUAUAUAUAUAUAUAUUUAUUUUGUUUUUGGCUGCAAAUGACACGUAUGAAGAACAGCGGUGUCAUUUCAGAAACGUGUUUCUCAUUCUUAUCACCAAAUCUCCAAUAUAUAUUAUGUUCUUCAGGAUUUAAAUGAUGUUCAGUUUACUGAUGCACUGAUUAUUGACAGUAUGUUAUGUUGAAUAAAGAUGAUUUCAGUAAAUAA